rnacentral:misc_RNA from 1 species
GAACUGCGAUAAGUGAUGUGAAUUGCAGACGUACACGAAUCAUCGAACCCUUGAACGCAUUCUGCGCUUCGAAGCUUGUCUUCGAGGCAUAUCUGGGUGAGUGUCGGUUUAACCUCUUUGCAUAAAUUUAUGCAGCGUCUGAUAGUAAAUUUCUACGCUUUUCAGGGUGGAUAUUUUCUAUUAAAAUAAAUCGACCUCAGAUUGAUUUUGGAUCAAAAAGAGUAACCCUCGGGUGGAAUCAGAAACUAAUUAAUUUCUCAGUCCUGAACGGCCGCUCAAACUGACCCAAAAUUUGUCAAAAGGUUUCGUUUGAAAUUGAAAAAAAAUUUUAUUCUCAACCUUCGACCUCACCUAGGUAAGACUACCCGCUGAAUUUAAGC